rnacentral:ncRNA from 1 species
UGGUCCUAGCCUUGAAAUUAAUUUUUACUUAAUAUACACAUGCAAGUCUCCGCACCCCUGUGAAAACGCCCUUAAUCCCCGCUAGGGAAAAGGAGCCGGAAUCAGGCACGAAAAUCUGCCCAAAACACCUAGCUACGCCACACCCACAAGGGAACUCAGCAGUGAUUAACAUUUAAUAUAAGCGACAGCUUGAUUCAGUUAAAGUAAAAAGAGCCGGCUAAUCUGGUGCCAGCCGCCGCGGUUACACCAUGGGGCUCAAAUUAAUUUCUAUCGGCGUAAAGCGUGAUUAAAGUUUUUUUAAAAAUUUGGAGUUAAAUUAAAACUAAGCUGUGACACGCUUGUGAUUAAGAAACCCGAAACGAAAGUUACCCCAAUUAUACCAACUUGAACUCACGACAGCUAGAAUACAAACUGGGAUUAGAUACCCCACUAUGCCUAGCCGUAAACUUUAAAUUACAACGACAUCGCCCGAGAACUACGAGCAAAGCUUAAAACUCAAAGGACUUGACGGUACCCCAUAUCCCCCUAGAGGAGCCUGUCCUAUAAUUGAUAACCCCCGUUUAACCUCACCAUUUUUAGCAAAUCAGUCUGUAUACCUCCGUCGUCAGCUUACCACGUGAGCGAAACUUAGUGAGCUUAAUGCUAUUACACCAAUACGUCAGGUCAAGGUGCAGCAAAUGAAAUGGAAAGAGAUGGGCUACACUUUCUAACAUAGAAUACACGAAAGACUAUUUAUGAAACCUAGUCGGAAGGCGGAUUUAGCAGUAAAAAGAAAUCAGAACACUCUUUUUAACACGGCACUGGGGUGUGUACACACCGCCCGUCACCCUCUUCACAAGCCAUAAAUAGUAUUUAACUAAUUGACGCAUCAUAGAAGAGGCAAGUCGUAACAUGGUAAGUAUACCGGAAGGUGUGCUUGGAAA